AGGUCACCACUUCCAGCCUGGCGACUUGGUGCUAAUUAAGACUUGGAAGGAAGACAAUCUCCACCCAAGCUGGGAAGGUUCCUAUCAAGUGCUCGUGAUCACUGAGACAGCCGUAGGAACAGCUGAACGGGGUGGACACUCACACUCGGGUCAAGAGACUGGUAAAAGAAACCCCAGAAGGAAGGGAAAAAGAAACUUUGCUCUGGUGGAGGAAACAAACAUGGACACAUUGUGAGAGUUCCAGGAAGUGGCCACUUGGAGGUGGUAUCAAAGUGCUGUGGGAAUCCACUUGGGAUUGCUGGAGGAGAAGCCAGUUGCCAUAUUGUGAGGAUGCUCAAGCAACCUUAUGAAGAGGUCUACAUGGUGAAGAACUAAGGCCUACUAUCAAAAACAAACACUAAUUUGCCAGACAUGUGAGUGAGUAUAUUGGAAGUGGAUCCUCCAACCUUCUAAGACUUGACAUGACUACAACCCCUGCCAACACCUUGAAUGAAACUUCAUAAGAGAACCUAAUCCAGAAUCACAUAGCUAAGCUAUUCCUGGAUUUCUGACCCAUAGAAACUAUGAGAUAAUUGCUUCUUGUUUCGAGUCACUAAAUUUGAGGGUAAUUGUUACAUAGCAACAGAUAACCAAUACAAUGAUAAGUGAAGAGUAAGGCCUGAGAAAUGACCGUUUAAUUUAAUAUGAAAGUCACUGACUACUUUGAAAAGAGCAGUUUCAGCAGAGCGAUGUGGGCAAAAGCCUAAUUAAAAUGUGCUCACAGAUAAUGAGAGAAGAGAAAGUGGAGACAGAUAACUGACCAUUCUUUCCAUAAGUUUUGCUGUAGGCCGGGCGCUGUGGCUCAUGCCUGUAAUCCCAGCACUUUGGGAGGCCGAGGCGGGCAUAUCACCUGAGGUCAGGAGUUUGAGACCAGCCUAGUCAACAUGGUGAAACCCCGUCUCUACUAAAAAUACAAAAAUUAGCCAGGCAUGGUGGUGCAUGCCUGUAAUCCCAGCUACCAGGAGACUGAGGCAGGAGAAUCGCUUGAACCCAAGAGGCAGAGGUUGCAGUGAGCCAAGAUUGUACCACUGCACUCCAGCCUGGGCAACAGAGCGACUCCAUCUCAAAAAAAAAUUUUUUUUUUUUGCUCUAAAGAGAAGCAGAGACUUGGGACAGUAGCUGAAGGGGGAAGGGCAUUGAGAAAGUUUUUUGCUUUUGUUUUACUUUUAAAAUGGAAGACAAGGUCGGGUGCGGUGGCUCACACCUAUAAUCUUAGCACUUUGGGAGGCCAAGGCAGGCGGAUCCCUUGAGCCCAGGAGUUCAAGACCAGCCUGGGCAUGGAGAAACCCCAUCUCUACAAAAAAAUACAAAAGUUAGCCAGGCUUGGUGGUGUGCACCUGUAGUCCCGGCUACUCAGGAGGCUAAAUUGGGAGGAUCGCUUGAACUUGGGAGGUUGAGGCUUCCGUGAGCCGAGAUCAUGCCACUGCACUCCAGCCUGGGUGACAAAGUAAGACCCUGUCUCAAAAAAAAAAAAAGAU
rnacentral:lncRNA from 10 species